GGGCCCGCACAAGCGGUGGAGCAUGUGGUUCAAUUCGACGCAACGCGAAGAACCUUACCUGGGCUCGAAGCGCAGUGGACCGGGGUAGAAAUAUCCCUUUCCGCAAGGACUGCUGCGGAGGUGCUGCAUGGCUGUCGUCAGCUCGUGUCGUGAGAUGUUGGGUUAAGUCCCGCAACGAGCGCAACCCUUAUCCCUAGUUGCCAUCGGGUCAAGCCGGGCACUCUAGUGAAACCGCCCCGGAUAACGGGGAGGAAGGUGGGGAUGACGUCAAGUCCUCAUGGCCUUUAUGUCCAGGGCUACACACGUGCUACAAUGGUCGGUACAAACCGUCGCAAACCUGCGAAGGGGAGCUAAUCGGAAAAAGCCGGCCUCAGUUCGGAUUGGAGUCUGCAACUCGACUCCAUGAAGCUGGAAUCGCUAGUAAUCGCAGAUCAGAACGCUGCGGUGAAUACGUUCCCGGGCCUU
rnacentral:rRNA from 1 species